AAUGAUAAGUGAUCCAAGACUUUAUAGCUUACACAAUUCCAAUUUUGAUUAACAGGAGCAAUGAGAGUGCAUUUCAAAACAAAAAAGCAGCAAAGUUAAAACAAAGAACAAAAGAAAGACUCGCAAGUGCUGAAAGAGCAAAGAAAGCGUUCGCGACUGAACUCGAAAAAGGCCAAUCGUAUCAAAGCGCUCAACCAGUCUACGUCCAUAGCUGAGGAUGACAAAAAAAAA